rnacentral:rRNA from 1 species
UACGUAGGGGCAAGCGUUGUCCGGAUUUACUGGGCGUAAAGAGCGUGUAGGCGGCCACGCAGGUCCGUUGUGAAAACUGGAGGCUCAACCUCCAGACGUCGACGGAAACCGUAUGGCUAGAGUCCGGAAGAGGAGAGUGGAAUUCCUGGUGUAGCGGUGAAAUGCGCAGAUAUCAGGAGGAACACCGAUGGCGAAGGCAGGUCUCUGGGCCACUACUGACGCUGAGAAGCGAAAGCAUGGGGAGCGAACAGG